GACGAACGCUGGCGGCGUGCUUAACACAUGCGAGUCGAACGGAAAAGCCCUGCUUUUGUGGGGUGCUCGAGUGGCGAACGGGUGAGUAACACGUGAGUAACCUGCCCUUGACUUUGGGAUAACUUCAGGAAACUGGGGCUAAUACCGGAUAGGAGCUCCUGCUGCAUGGUGGGGGUUGGAAAGUUUCGGCGGUUGGGGAUGGACUCGCGGCUUAUCAGCUUGUUGGUGGGGUAGUGGCUUACCAAGGCUUUGACGGGUAGCCGGCCUGAGAGGGUGACCGGCCACAUUGGGACUGAGAUACGGCCCAGACUCCUACGGGAGGCAGCAGUGGGGAAUAUUGCACAAUGGGCGGAAGCCUGGUGCAGCAACGCCGCGUGCGGGAUGACGGCCUUCGGGUUGUAAACCGCUUUCGCCUGUGACGAAGCGUGAGUGACGGUAAUGGGUAAAGAAGCACCGGCUAACUACGUG
rnacentral:rRNA from 1 species